UACGUAGGGCGCAAGCGUUGUCCGGAAUUAUUGGGCGUAAAGAGCUCGUAGGCGGUUUGUCGCGUCUGCUGUGAAAACCUAAGGCUCAACCUUGGGCUUGCAGUGGGUACGGGCAGACUAGAGUGCGGUAGGGGUGACUGGAAUUCCUGGUGUAGCGGUGGAAUGCGCAGAUAUCAGGAGGAACACCGAUGGCGAAGGCAGGUCACUGGGCCGCAACUGACGCUCAUGGUCGAAAGCGUGGGGAGCAAACAGG
rnacentral:rRNA from 1 species